rnacentral:rRNA from 1 species
CGGCCUUGACAUCCCAAGAAUCUUUCAGAGAUGAGAGAGUGCUACUUCGGUAGAGCUUGGUGAC